UUCCGGUUGAUCCUGCCGGAGGCUACCGCUAUUGGAGUUCGAUUAAGCCAUGCGAGUCGCGAGUCUUAGGGACUCGGCGUACCGCUCAGUAACACGUGGGUAACCUGCCCUAUGCUGGGGGAUAACCUCGGGAAACUGAGAAUAAUACCCCAUAGUUCACCACGCCUGGAACGGUGGGUGGAUGAAAGCUCCGGCGGCAUAGGAUGGGCCUGCGGCGUAUCAGGUUGUAGGGGGUGUAAUGUACCCUCUAGCCAUCUACGCGUACGGGUGUUGGGAGACAUCGCCCGGAGAUGGAUUCUGAGACACGAAUCCAGACCCUACGGGGUGCAGCAGGCGCGAAAACUUGGCAAUGCGAGAAAUCGUGACCAGGGAACUCCAAGUGGCUGGGGUAAGACCCAGUCUUUUCAUGACUCUUCAAAGGUCUUGGAAUAAGGGGUGGGUAAGGACGGUGCCAGCCGCCGCGGUAAUACCGGCGCCCCAAGUGGUAGUCGCUUUUAUUGGGCCUAAAACGUCCGUAGCCGGUCUGGUACAUUCGUGGGUAAAUCAACCAGCUCAACUGGUUGAAUUCUGCGAGCACGGCCAGACUUGGGACCGGGAGAGGUGUGGGGUACUCUCAGGGUAGGGGUAAAAUCCUGUCAUCCUGAGAGGACCACCUGUUGCGAAGGCGCCACACUAGAACGGAUCCGACGGUCAGGGACGAAGCCUAGGGGCACGAACCGGAUUAGAUACCCGGGUAGUCCUAGGUGUAAACGCUGUGGACUUGAUGUUGGGGGCGCUCCGAGCGCACUCAGUGUCGAAGCGAAGGUGAUAAGUCCACUGCCUGGGGAGUACGGUCGCAAGGCUGAAACUUAAAGGAAUUGGCGGGGGAGCACCGCAACCUGAGGAUUGUGCGGUUUAAUUGGAUUCAACGCCGG
rnacentral:rRNA from 1 species